CGAACCUCCAUUGUUGGGCUUGCUCCAAGAACCAAGUUUGCAGAGAUGUGGAGAAGCAAGACGCAAUACCCUUAAACGGCGUCAAACAGGAAACCACGAGAAGACAACUUUGAGUUUAAAACGACCACGUUUUGGUUAUAAGGAUUUUAAAACAAUCUGAGUCGUUCCUUAAAUUUACAGCAUCUGUGUUGUAGUUAAAACUACAGCACAGAAGCUGGAUCCGUUUCACACAGCCCCCCUCCCCUCCCUUUUCAUCCAUUUUCCUUUCUUUGUCUUCUCUUGUGUUCGUGCACUAGGCUCGAUCGAGAGAGGGAGAGACACAGAGAUGCGGAGAGAGAGACAACCGAGAGAGAGGAUACAAAGGGAGUGAGAUCAGUCUGAGAGUGAGAGAUUCAGAGGUUGAGAUAGAAGGAGAGGCCGUGAUGCAGAGAAAGAGACGUUGCAGACCUGAGAGAGAGAUGACGCGGACAAGGAAGAAGGAGAAGGAGAAGAAAAAAUGGAGAGUUCGGCCAUGGGGAAAAACCACAAAAAUCAGGUAUGAGCAUCGUGGGUCAUAGAUCGUGUACAAGAUUAAAGGUUGUUGAAGGGAUUCCUUCGAGUUACUGUCUUGUGAGGCAUUGACUUAAUUUAAGUCAAUCUCUCGUUAUGUGGUUGUGACAUAUUCAUUGUAAUAGUAUUUUGAGAUGUUUUGAUGUUAAAUAGUGAUACAGAAGCUCUGGUUAGUUUAUUUGAUAUAUUAUUAGGUCAAUUCAUGAGCUAAAAUUAUUAUAGGUAUAUUUGUUGCUAUGUGUAUCAUCUAAUAUGAUGUACUCGUGUUAUUAGAUGUUUAUAGUUGAUGUUUGGUUCAUGGCUUGUAGUCAUGCCACUGCGAUGAUCCGUUUAAAAAUAAAAUAAAAUUGGGUCGUCAUAGUUCUA